rnacentral:piRNA from 1 species
GAGGUGUGUCCUUCGCCGUGUUGGGGUUA